CAACUUUCAACAACGGAUCUCUUGGCUCUCGCAUCGAUGAAGAACGCAGCGAAAUGCGAUAAGUAAUGUGAAUUGCAGAAUUCAGUGAAUCAUCGAAUCUUUGAACGCACCUUGCGCCCUUUGGUAUUCCGAAGGGCACACCUGUUUGAGUGUC
rnacentral:rRNA from 1 species